rnacentral:misc_RNA from 1 species
CUGAAAAUUCAUCACUUUUAUUUAAUUUAAUUCUUUUACCUAAUAAUAUUGGAUAAGAACAUUAAAGUAAGGAAUAGCCACUUUCUAUAAUAAAAAAAUCUUUGAGUUUAAGGGUACCACAACAAAGAUGUCAGCGCCCAGGGAGAAAACUUGCGCAAUCUAGUUUUUCAGCGUCUUUACUUCAUCUUGUGGAAGUGUAACAUUGGAAAAGAGGUAACAGGUGAAAACGACGACUAUGGAAAUGGAAGCAGAGAGGAAAAAGGCAGAACAGAGAAGGAAGAUAGAGUAUCAAGUAGCAUGUGAGGAGAGAGCACAUAGAAUAGUGGAGAGACUUAUAGAUAACCCAGUUACUCAGGAACAGUUGAUUAAUGCUUUACAUUACAUCACCCCGAAUCACUACAUAGAUAUUGUUGAGGAAAGAGCUGUCGCAAAGCUGUGUGGCUAUCCACUAUGUCCUAAAGAUUUGUCAGAUGUUCCAAAACAGAAGUAUGUAAUUUCAACAAAGACCAACAAAGUGUAUGAUAUAGAGUCAAGGAAGAAUUUCUGCAGUCCACGAUGUUAUAAAGCUUCAAAACAUCUGGAAUGUCAGAUUUCCAGUGAUCCAGUAUGGUCAAGGAAAAAUAUGCGUCCAACUCAGUUUGACAUCUUGGCUCUGGAUUUGAAAACAGGAAAGUUGGGAGAUGAAGUGAUUGUGAGUAAGGCAGGAGUGAUUAAGGAUGAUCUUAGUAGACUUGAGAAGCUUGAUAAGUAUCAGAAAAACCUGGCAGAGAGGAUACAUGAACAUAAUGUAGAUAUGGAAGAGGAAGAAAGAGCUAGAAGGUCUAAAUGUGAUAAAAAUGAGAAUGAAGAGUCUGAAGUAGGAGAAAAUGCUACAGAAGAUGGUGCAGUUGUUUACACUUUAGACAAGACAAUGAAUGAACUAAGUUUAGAAAGAAAUGAUAGAGAUGAAAAGGAUGGAAAACAAAAUGAUACGGAACAAUUGAGUGAUGACAUGAAAAGCAUAAAUGAUUCAGAAUCUUGUAUAGAAAAAGCUUCUGGAGACAAAGUUAAUGCUGACUCAAGGGAGACUGUGGAUGCUCAAGAAAAUAAUAUUCGUAGUGCAGUGAAGUCAACUGGCUCUAAAACCUCGAAAAGAAACAAAGAAGCAGGUCCAAGUAAAUCAAAAACUGAUUACUUAAUGCAGUUACUUGAUAAAAGAAAGUCUUUGCUAGCUAAAAUGGCUGAUAUUCAAAAUGAUAACCCUAAGGAUGAGGGUAAACAGAAGCAAGAGUAUGAAGACAGAAGAGUCAGAGAAACUGUAGCUGACAAGGCUAGAAGAGAUGACAAUGUUGCAGGAAAAAAGGAAAAUAUAACCGUAGUUCCAGAAGGUACUAAAACUGAAUUACCAGAUCUCUCUGCAAAACAAGGAGAAUCUGGGGAAAUCAAAACUUCAGAGAAAAGUUAUUGUAAAACUGUAGCAGAAAAGAAAAAGGAGAAAGACAGUAUCAAGAAUACUGUUAAAGAUGAACAGAAAAGGACAGGUGGUGUGUCAGCAUUAGACUUAAUCUGUAAAGGUGUUCAGUCAUGGAUUACUUUAAAGACUGUAGAGCAUUUGAAAGUUGCUGAACAAGAUGAGAAAAAACUGGAGUGCAGUACAGUAAAUAAGGCAUUUGAGAAACAAUAUCAGGAUCUUGUUGCUAAUGUUGAUGCACAGGAGAAAGACUUUGAUGCUUUGCUAGGUGAGGAGACAAUGACCUCGGACCAUACAGACAGGCCGUCUGCUCCGCUACCUCAUUUUGAUGUUCUAAGGGAAGAAUUGGAAGCUGACCAAAUUAGAGUGCAGGAGUUUAUGAAGGGAUCCUUUACUUAUAAAGUGAAAGAAAAACAAUCUGGUGACAAGAUUGCCAGGUGUGUUGUCUCCUUUACAUUUGUUGAUACAGGAUGUAUUUACUGAACUGAGAGAGCUGAUCUGUACAUUCAAUUUGACAAGUGACAAUAUUACAUUUAAGCCAGCAGAGUGGACCAUUGUUACAGUGAUACUACUCAGAAUGUUAUCAAGAAGAAUGAUCACAGUCCAGAGAAGUUUUACCAGUCCAGGAGCCGAGAAAUAUUUCA